rnacentral:rRNA from 1 species
GACAGAGGUUGCAAACGUUGUUCGGAAUUACUGGGCAUAAAGCGCACGUAGGUGGUCCGCUAAGUCGGAUGUGAAAUUCCCCGGCUCAACCGGGGAACGGCAAUCGAUACUGGCGGGCUUGAGGUCCGGAGGGGUGAGUGGAACUCCUGGUGGAGCGGUGAAAUGCGUAGAUAUUGGGAGGAACACCGGUGGCGAAGGCGGCUACCUGGACCGGUUCUGACGCUGAUGCGCGAAAGCGUGGGUAGCAAACAGG